rnacentral:rRNA from 1 species
AACCAAACAGCUUCGGCUGUACUACUGGUGACUCUGAAUAACUUUGGGCUGAUCGCAUUGCCUAGUGCAGGCGACAAUUCCUAUGAAGGUGUGCCCUAUCAACUGUCGACUGUGAUAUAGACGCUCACAGUGGUUUUGACGGGUAACGAGGAAUCUGGGUUCGAUUUCGGAGAGGGAGCCUUAAAAACGGCUACCACAUCCAAGGAAGGCAGCAGGCACGCAAAUUACCCAAUUAUCGAAGAUAGAGGUAGUGACGAAAAAUAACAAUACAAGACUCUUCCGAGGCCUUGAUAAUUGGAAUGAGUACACUUUAAAACCGUUUCACGAGGAUCCAUUGGAGGGCAAGUCUGGUGCCAGCAGCCGCGGUAAUUCCAGCUCCAAUAGUGUAUAUUAAUGUUGUUGUGGUUAAAAAGCUCGUAGUUGGAUUUCCGGCGGGUAUUGGCUGGUUCGAAUUGAUUCGAUACUGGCUUUUUUACCCGUGUGUUUUGCCAGAAUCUGACGGGUGAUCUUUACCGAUUGUCCGGCGGAACUGGUAGGUUUACUUUGAAAAAAUUAGAGUGCUCAAAGCAAGCUUGAUUGCUUGAAUAUUCGUGCAUGGAAUAAUAGAAUAGGAGGUCGUUUCUAUUUUGUUGGUUUUCGGAAAUCG